rnacentral:rRNA from 1 species
GAUCAUGGCUCAGGAUGAACGCUAGCUACAGGCUUAACACAUGCAAGUCGAACGAAGCACUUUAAUUGAUUUCUUCGGAAUGAAGUUUUUGUGACUGAGUGGCGGACGGGUGAGUAACGCGUGGGUAACCUGCCUCAUACAGGGGGAUAACAGUUGGAAACGACUGCUAAUACCGCAUAAGCGCACAGGAUUGCAUGAUCCAGUGUGAAAAACUCCGGUGGUAUGAGAUGGACCCG